rnacentral:rRNA from 1 species
UACGAAGGGGGGCUAGCGUUGUUCGGAAUUACUGGGCGUAAAGCGCGCGUAGGCGGGCGUUUAAGUCAGGGGUGAAAUGCCGGGGCUCAACCUCGGAACGGCCUUUGAUACUGGACGUCUGGAGUUCGGGAGAGGUGAGUGGAAUUCCGAGUGUAGAGGUGAAAUUCGUAGAUAUUCGGAAGAACACCAGUGGCGAAGGCGACUCACUGGACACGUAUUGACGCUGAGGUGCGAAAGCGUGGGGAGCAAACAGGG